GUUUGCUGUCUGGGGAGAUCACUUAGAAAUCCAACUUUAACAGCUGAAUUCUUUGUGGUUAAACCAUUUUGUAAAGGUUUCUUCUCUUGCUAAGACAGAUAAACGAAAUCAGAAUGAGAAUUGCACCCACUGUUCUAGCAGUGCACUGUGAACUUGAGAUGUAGCGAGAGGAAUUAAGCAUCUUAAACUGUCUUUCUGUACUGUUCUGGUGUGGGAACAGGAAUGAACAUCACCCACUGCUAUUACCCUAGGUGGAAAAUAUAAUGUUUUGCAUGCAUAAAGUUAAGACUUCUUUUUGCAAGA
rnacentral:lncRNA from 1 species